AUUGAACGCUGGCGGCAUGCCUUACACAUGCAAGUCGAACGGCAGCACGGACUUCGGUCGUGGUGGCGAGUGGCGAACGGGUGAGUAAUGUAUCGGAACGUACCUUUCAGUGGGGGAUAACGUAGCGAAAGUUACGCUAAUACCGCAUAUUCUGUGAGCAGGAAAGCAGGGGAUCGCAAGACCUUGCGCUGAUUGAGCGGCCGAUAUCAGAUUAGCUAGUUGGUGGGGUAAAGGCCUACCAAGGCGACGAUCUGUAGCGGGUCUGAGAGGAUGAUCCGCCACACUGGAACUGAGACACGGUCCAGACUCCUACGGGAGGCAGCAGUGGGGAAUUUUGGACAAUGGGGGCAACCCUGAUCCAGCCAUGCCGCGUGAGUGAAGAAGGCCUUCGGGUUGUAAAGCUCUUUCGGCCGGGAAGAAAUCGCACAGGCUAAUACCCUGUGUGGAUGACGGUACCGGAAUAAGAAGCACCGGCUAACUACGUG
rnacentral:rRNA from 1 species